AGCAGCCGCGGUAAUUCCAGCUCCAAUAGCGUAUAUUAAAGUUGUUGCAGUUAAAAAGCUCGUAGUUGAAUUUCGGGAUUUGUCAGUUGGUCGGGCUUCACUGUUCGUACUGGCUUGAUGGAUUCCUACCUUCUGAAUAACCAGCAUGCUAUUAAGUUAGUGCGUUGGGGAAGCAGAUCUAUUACCUUGAAAAAAUUAGAGUGCUUAAAGCGGGCUUGUGCUUGAAUAGAUUAGCAUGGAAUAAUAAAAUAGGACGGCAUGGUUCUAUUUUGUUGGUUUCUAGGAUCACCGUAAUGAUUAAUAGGGAUAGUUGGGGGCAUUAGUAUUCAAUUGUCAGAGGUGAAAUUCUUGGAUUUAUUGAAGACUAACUUCUGCGAAAGCAUUUGCCAAGGAUGUUUUCAUUAAUCAAGAACGAAAGUUAGGGGAUCGAAGACGAUCAGAUACCGUCGU
rnacentral:rRNA from 1 species